rnacentral:snRNA from 1 species
GUGCUUGCUUUGGUGGCACAUAUACUAAAAUCGAAACAAUACAAAGAGGAUUAGCAUGACCCUGCACAAGGAUGACAUACAAUUUUGUGAAGUAUUCCAUAUUUUU